rnacentral:lncRNA from 1 species
GAAAAGGAAGAAUCAACACUUUCAGAGAUGGAGCCUGUUGAGCCACAGUACCAACUAGUCAAUGCUGAAUCGACUUCUCCCUUUCUACAUUGCCUGAGAGAAGUCAUUGGGGAAUACUCUGUACACGAAUUUUCACUGUUGGGGAAAACAGAGAGUCAAGGGAUUGGAUUGUGGAUUGCAUUGGUGGUUUUCCUCAGUUUCCUCAUCUUCUCCACAAGUUUCUACAUAUCGAAUGCAGAGCAGCCCUUCUUCAAAGGACCUCCUACGGAAGCUGCUAAGGAACUCAGUCUGUAGCUCUGCGUGGAGCCAUGUGUAAACACUGAACUGAGACCUGCCACCUCCUACUACCUAAGGGCCCAUUUUCAUCUGAUAUCAUCCCCCAGAAACAAACUCAUGAUGACUUCCAUGUUUUUUUUAGAUUAGAUACAUGGAGAAUUUUCCUUUCCCUUAGAAUUAAAAUCCUGCAUUCUAA